UUUGGCCUCGGAUCAGGUGGGGAUACCCGCUGAACUUAAGCAUAUCAAUAAGCGGAGGA
rnacentral:rRNA from 1 species